UACAGAGGUCCCAAGCGUUACUGAGAAUCACUGGGUUUAAAGGGUGCGUAGGUGGUCCGUUAAGUCAGUUGUGAAAUCCCCGGGCUCAACCCGGGAAAUGCUUCUGAUACUGGCGGACUUGAGGCCAGUAGGGGUCACUAGAACUGACGGUGGAGCGGUGAAAUGCGUAGAUAUCGUCAGGAAUGCCGGUGGUGAAGACGGGUGACUGGGCUGUUCUGACACUGAGGCACGAAAGCGUGGGGAGCGAACGGG
rnacentral:rRNA from 1 species